GACGAACGCUGGCGGCGUGCUUAACACAUGCAAGUCGAACGGAAAGGCCCUGCUUUUGUGGGGUGCUCGAGUGGCGAACGGGUGAGUAAAACGUGAGUAACCUGCCCUUGACUUUGGGAUAACUUCAGGAAACUGGGGCUAAUACCGGAUAGGAGCUCCUGCUGCAUGGUGGGGGUUGGUAAGUUUCGGCGGUUGGGGAUGGACUCGCGGCUUAUCAGCUUGUUGGUGGGGUAGUGGCUUACCAAGGCUUCGAGGGGUAGUCGGCCUGAGAGGGUGACCGGCCACAUGGGGACUGAGAUACGGCGCAGACGCCUACGGGAGGCAGCAGUCGGAAAUAUUGCACAAUGGGCGGAAGCCUGAUGCAGCAGCGCUGCGUGCGGGAUAACGGGUUUCGGGUUGUAAACCGCUUUCGCCGGUGACGAAGCGUGAGUGACGGUAAUGGAUAAAGAAGCACCGGCUAACUACGUG
rnacentral:rRNA from 1 species